CCUACGGGUGGCAGCAGUGAGGAAUAUUGGUCAAUGGACGCAAGUCUGAACCAGCCAUGUCGCGUGCAGGAUGACGGCUCUAUGGGUUGUAAACUGCUUUUGUAGGAGGGUAAACGCCGAUUCGUGAAUCGGGUAUAAAGUAUCGCACGAAUAAGGCUCGGCUAACUCCGUGCCAGCAGCCGCGGUAAUACGGAGGAGGCAGCGUUAUCCGGAUUUAUUGGGUUUAAAGGGUGCGUAGGCGGUUGUAUAAGUUAGAGGUGAAAUGUCGGGGCUCAACCCCGGAACUGCCGCUAAUACUGUAGGACUAGAGAAGAGUGGCGGUAUGCGGAAUGCAUGGUGUAGCGGUGAAAUGCUUAGAUAUCAUACAGAACACCGAUUGCGAAGGCAGCUUACCAACGUAUAACUGACGUUGAGGCACGAAAGCGUGGGUAGCAAACAGGAUUAGAUACCCGAGUAGUC
rnacentral:rRNA from 1 species